AUUGAACGCUGGCGGCAUGCCUUACACAUGCAAGUCGAACGGCAGCACGGGUGCUUGCACCUGGUGGCGAGUGGCGAACGGGUGAGUAAUAUAUCGGAACGUACCUUAUUGUGGGGGAUAACGCAGCGAAAGCUGUGCUAAUACCGCAUAAUCCCUAAGGGGGAAAGCGGGGGACCGUAAGGCCUCGCGCAAUUAGAGCGGCCGAUACCCGAUUAGCCAGUUGGUGAGGUAAAGGCUCACCAAGGCAACGAUCAGUAGCUGGUCUGAGAGGACGAUCAGCCACACUGGGACUGAGACACGGCCCAGACUCCUACGGGAGGCAGCAGUGGGGAAUUUUGGACAAUGGGGGCAACCCUGAUCCAGCAAUGCCGCGUGAGUGAAGAAGGCCUUCGGGUUGUAAAGCUCUUUUGUCAGGGAAGAAACAGCAGCUCUAACACAGUUUGCGAAUGACGGUACCUGAAGAAUAAGCACCGGCUAACUACGUGCCAGCCGCCGCGGUAA
rnacentral:rRNA from 1 species